GGCCUGCGGGCGUAUAUAAAGAGAGAGGCCCCACGUUGCUCUCUCUUUUCUAAGUCGCCAUUGCUUGCGCUCGGCUGUCCUUUGGGGACCAUGGCUCAGAAGGUGAAGACAAUACUAUUUGUGGAGGGUUUUAGAAAUGGUUUGGUACUUACAGAAGGAAGAUAUUUGGGGUCUGCAUUUGCUCUGUAUGCUGCAAUAUGGCCUAGUUGCUGCUAUACUAUAAAUUUCAGUCCAGCUCCUUAACAUGGCCAAACAGGCCUCCGUAAUGCAGCUGUAUGAGACGAGUUCUGAAGCAAAAAAGGUCAUGAGGCGACUUUGAAGAUCUCCUUAGAGUUACAUUCCUGAUAGUGUCCAAAUGGUUGAGGAUUCUCCAGUUUUGAGUUACCUGCUGAAAGAGACACAGUGGAAACUGAUGGAGAGGAGAGGCCUGAGCUUCUCAAUACACUGAUUAAACAGGAAUGUUCUGGAGAACUCUGCCUGUGUGAUGCAAGUGCUACACGCUCUGGAUUGGGAAAGGAACAACAUUUUAAGUUGGUGGUGAACAUCUUGAACUAACAGUUGUAUGUGAAAGAUGUGAAGUUGCAGCCUUGCCCAGAAGACAUUCAACUUAAAAUAGUGGAAGAACCCAAAUGUAAAUUCUGUGACAUCUGGAUAUUCAAUAUAAGCUUUGGUUACAAUAGAUGUAGAUUCUUCAGAUGUUUGAGUCAAAAUGAAAAUGCUGAGCAUGUGCAUCCUCAUACCUAACAGUUUAUUCAAAUAAAUGGGAUAAACUGUUGAGGCAGCAGCAAGUUAUAAGUAAAGCUGCCAUUUUUGGAUAGGAGUAGCAUAGCCACAACUGGCAUUGGGGAAGUAAUUGUUCAAUGCUAAUCUUGACUUGGUGGAUGUCUGUGGUGAUUGUGCUUAUACUUCUAUUGCUUUUUUAAAAAACUGAGCCAUCUACCCUAGGUUUUCAUGAGAAGGCCAAGUUAUAGGGGGUGGGAGAGUUGUAAUAAUGGCCCCCUUAUAUGCCAAGGCUGGAAGGAUAAACACCUGCCAUUUGGUGGUCUGAAGAUCUCACCUGUUUGACAAUAUUUCUAUAUUGUAAGCUGCCCUGUAUUCCUUGGAUGAAGGGUGUUAUAUACAUAUAAUCAAUAAAGGAUUUAAUCCAACCUCA